rnacentral:lncRNA from 1 species
ACCGUUUCGUUGAAGAGAGGUUCUCUUUUGGAUGCAAGGUUUGAAAAGUUAGGGCACUGUGUUUGUGAAAAUCAGACCCGAGUUAGUUUUGGUUUGGCAGUGUACAAGUCGAAGGCUAGAAGUCUUCCAGUUUCUAAGCACAGAUUCGACUUAGUUAAUUCCAUGCAUAGUUCAAGAUAGGCUCGUGGCGGGCUUUGGCAAAGAUGGUGUUGUG